rnacentral:rRNA from 1 species
GCUUACGGCCAUACCACCCUGAACACGUCCGAUCUCGUUUGAUCUCGCAAGCUAAGCAAGGUCGGGCCUGGUCACUACUUGGAUGGGAGACCGCCUGGUAAUAUCAGUUGCUGUAAGUU